rfam:Triticum aestivum genome assembly, contig: Triticum_aestivum_CS42_TGACv1_scaffold_169012_2DL
AAAUUACCCCCCUGUCCCAAAAUUCUUGUCUUAGAUUUGUCUAGAUACGGAUGAAUCAAGUCACAUUUUAGUAUUAGAUACAUCCGUAUCGAGACAAAUCUAAGACAGGAAAAUUUGGGACAGAGGGAGUAGUUG